AUGGAGGUUGAUAGCCAAACAACCGUAAGUCGUCGAUCCAGACAUAGAAGUUUUGUAUGGGAUUAUUUUACAAAGAUCAAAGUUAAUGGAAAAGAUAAGGCUCGAUGUAAUUAUUGCUCAAAGCAGCUUAAUGGAUCCUCAAAUGAUGGGACGACACAUUUAAAAGGACAUUUGGGAUCUUGUCUCAAAAAUAAGCUUUUGAAAUCAUCUGAUAAGGGACAGACAUUUCUUACGCCUAGAACCAUGCAAGGUAAACAAGAGUUGAGUACUGGAACUUAUGAUGCAGAAAAUUCUAAGAAAGAGCUUGCACAUGCAAUUAUUUUGCAUGAAUAUUUGCUUUUAAUAAGAUAUUCAAAGUAUACAAUAUGGAGAGAUCAUCAACUUUGA